GACGAACGCUGGCGGCGUGCUUAACACAUGCAAGUCGAACGGAAAUGCCCUGCUUUUGUGGGGUGCUCGAGUGGCGAACGGGUGAGUAACACGUGAGUAACCUGCCCUUGACUUUGGGAUAACUUCAGGAAACUGGGGCUAAUACCGGAUAGGAGCUCCUGCUUCGUGGUGGGGGUUGGAAAGUUUCGGCGGUUGGGGAUGGACUCGCGGCUUAUCAGCUUGUUGGUGGGGUAGUGGCUUACCAAGGCUUUGACGGGUAGCCGGCCUGAGAGGGUGACCGGCCACAUUGGGACUGAGAUACGGCCCAGACUCCUACGGGAGGCAGCAGUGGGGAAUAUUGCACAAUGGGCGGAAGCCUGAUGCAGCAACGCCGCGUGCGGGAUGACGGCCUUCGGGUUGUAAACCGCUUUCGCCUGUGACGAAGCGUGAGUGACGGUAAUGGGUAAAGAAGCACCGGCUAACUACGUG
rnacentral:rRNA from 1 species